rfam:Micromonospora aurantiaca ATCC 27029, complete genome.
AGCGCCACCGGGUCCACCGCCCGGGUCACCGUGAGGUAGUCGCGGAUCGCCGUGCCGUGCCGCCCCUC